rnacentral:piRNA from 1 species
UAGAUCCCAUUCCUUUCAUCAUUUC